rnacentral:rRNA from 1 species
CAAGUCGAGGGGCAUCGGGGCGAGGAGCAAUCCUUGCCGCCGGCGACCGGCGCACGGGUGAGUAACGCGUAUGCGACCUGCCCGUUGCAGGGGGAUAAUCGGGAGAAAUCCCGUCUAAUACCGCGUAAUGCCGCGGGGCUGCAUGGCCCUGCGGCCAAAGGGAGCGAUUCCGGCUACGGAUGGUCAUGCGUCGCAUUAGCUGGUUGGCGGGGUAACGGCCCACCAAGGCGACGAUGCGUAGGGGUUCUGAGAGGAAGGUCCCCCACACUGGUACUGAGACACGGACCAGACUCCUACGGGAGGCAGCAGUGAGGAAUAUUGGUCAAUGGCCGCAGGGCUGAACCAGCCAAGUCGCGUGAGGGAUGACGGUCCUAUGGAUUGUAAACCUCUUUUGUCAGGGAGCAAAGGGCGCCACGUGUGGCGCUUUGCGAGUACCUGAAGAAAAAGCAUCGGCUAACUCCGUGCCAGCAGCCGCGGUAAUACGGAGGAUGCGAGCGUUAUCCGGAUUUAUUGGGUUUAAAGGGUGCGCAGGCGGAAUGUCAAGUCAGCGGUAAAAUUUCGGGGCUCAACCCCGUCGUGCCGUUGAAACUGGCGUUCUUGAGUGAGCGAGAAGUAUGCGGAAUGCGUGGUGUAGCGGUGAAAUGCAUAGAUAUCACGCAGAACUCCGAUUGCGAAGGCAGCAUACCGGCGCUCAACUGACGCUCAUGCACGAAAGCGUGGGUAUCGAACAGGAUUAGAUACCCUGGUAGUCCACGCAGUAAACGAUGAAUACUAACUGUCCGGGCAGAAUGAUGCCUGGGUGGUACAGCGAAAGCGUUAAGUAUUCCACCUGGGGAGUACGCCGGCAACGGUGAAACUCAAAGGAAUUGACGGGGC